rnacentral:tRNA from 1 species
GCCCCGAUAGCUCAACUGGACAGAGCAUCUGCCUUCUAAGCAGGAGGUUGCUGGUUCGAGUCCAGCUCGGGGUNCCA